GACAUUACUUUUAUCUGUGGUAAAUUACAUGAUGAAGUCAGCAACACAUGUAUUUCAUUGUACAUAUAUUAACAUCAAUUUUUUAAACCAUUCAUUUGUUAGAAGAACUCCCAAAAGAUAAUGAAAAUUUGAUGAUUUACAUUGUCUGUUAUCUAGCAAGCCAGGUACCAUUUUUUGUUUUCUAUAUUUUUUUAGUUAUAUCUUCUACUAUGAAAUCAUAUUUGUAGGUAUUUUCACAUUCAUCCAUUAGUAUCACGUCUAUGUGCAUCAAUCUAUUGUACAACCCAGGUUCUUUAGUUCUUCAUCCUUUCAAGGUAUCAAUAUUCUAAUAUUCUAUAACAUAUCCUUUUGUAGUAUUUUUUUUGAUAUUGAUUCAUUAAGUAAUAAAAUAAUUAUUAUUUUCUUUUCCGUUUCAAAGCAGAUAAAUUGCUUGCUAAUCUUUUGGAGCCACUAAUAUGUGAAGUCUUCAUCGAAUAUUCACAAAAUUCAGGUUCUAAUCUUCUAAAAAUCUGUAAUUAUUUAUCCAUUAGACAAAGCUAUGAACUAGAGCUGAUAAGUUCAGCUCAUGUGCAGCCUGGAAAGAAUAAAUUAGAGUCCACUGAGGAUGUUAUGUUGGAGCAAAGAAUAAAUUAGAGUACACUGAAAAAGAUCUAAUAGAAAAAGAAGAGGAACUUCAAGAUUUGGAAGCGCUUAAUGCCUUAAUCAAGCAUUGAUAAUCAAAGAAAGAUCAAGCAAUGAUUAAUUACAGGGUGCUCGCAAAGAGUUGAUUUCU
rnacentral:lncRNA from 1 species